GAGUGCAGUGGUGUUUGCAACUAAUUAAUCACAACUAGUUACAGAUUUCUUUGUUCCUUUUCCACUUCCACUGCUUCACUUUAAAAAUAUAUA
rnacentral:Y_RNA from 1 species